rnacentral:tRNA from 1 species
GAGUAGUAGUUUAAUUAAAACUACAAGUUGCAAGCUUGUUAUUGUCCUUUAGGUCCUACUCA